rnacentral:rRNA from 1 species
AACGAACGCUGGCGGCGUGCUUAACACAUGCAAGUCGAACGCGAACGUUUUCUUCGGAAAACUAGUAGAGUGGCGCACGGGUGAGUAACGCGUAAGUAAUCUACCCUGGCAUCUGGGAUAACCCACCGAAAGGUGUGCUAAUACCGGAUACGCUGAUUUAUCAGGAAAGGUGGCCUCUGUUUCAUGCUACUGUGCCGGGAGAGCUUGCGUACCAUUAGCUAGUUGGUGGGGUAAUGGCCUACCAAGGCAACGAUGGUUAGCGGGUCUGAGAGGAUGAUCCGCCACACUGGAACUGAAACACGGACCAGACUCCUACGGGAGGCAGCAGUGAGGAAUAUUGCGCAAUGGGGGGAAAACCCUGACGCAGCGACGCCGCGUGGAUGAUGAAGGCCUUCGGGUCGUAAAAUCCUGUCAGAAGGGAAGAAAUGCUAUAUGUCUAAUAUAUGUAUAGUUUGACGGUACCUUCAAAGGAAGCACCGGCUAACUCCGUG